rnacentral:tRNA from 1 species
CAGAAAGUAGUUUAAUUCAGAAUCCUAGCUUUGGGAGCCAGGGGUGGGAGUUAGAAUCUCCUCUUUCUGA